rnacentral:tRNA from 1 species
CGGGGUGUAGCGCAGCCUGGUAGCGCACCUGGUUUGGGACCAGGGGGUCGGAGGUUCGAAUCCUCUCGCCCCGACCA